rnacentral:rRNA from 1 species
UGAGGAAUAUUGCACAAUGGAGGAAACUCUGAUGCAGCAACGCCGCGUGGAGGAUGACACAUUUCGGUGCGUAAACUCCUUUUAUAUAAGAAGAUAAUGACGGUAUUAUAUGAAUAAGCACCGGCUAACUCCGUGCCAGCAGCCGCGGUAAUACGGAGGGUGCAAGCGUUACUCGGAAUCACUGGGCGUAAAGAGCGUGUAGGCGGAUUGAUAAGUUUGAAGUGAAAUCCUAUAGCUUAACUAUAGAACUGCUUUGAAAACUGUUAAUCUAGAAUGUGGGAGAGGUAGAUGGAAUUUCUGGUGUAGGGGUAAAAUCCGUAGAGAUCAGAAGGAAUACCGAUUGCGAAGGCGAUCUACUGGAACAAUAUUGACGCUGAGACGCGAAAGCGUGGGGAGCAAA